rnacentral:rRNA from 1 species
CAGUCGCCACGGUAAUACGUAGGUGGCAAGCGUUGUCCGGAAUUAUUGGGCGUAAAGGGAGCGCAGGCGGACAUAUAAGUCCAUCUUAAAAGUGCGGGGCUCAACCCCGUGAGGGGAUGGAAACUGUAUGCCUUGAGUGCAGGAGAGGAAAGCGGAAUUCCCAGUGUAGCGGUGAAAUGCGUAGAUAUUGGGAGGAACACCAGUGGCGAAGGCGGCUUUCUGGACUGUAACUGACGCUGAGGCUCGAAAGCCAGGGGAGCGAACGGGAUUAGAUACCCCUGUAGUCCCUGUCUCUUAUACC